rnacentral:rRNA from 1 species
AUUGAACGCUGGCGGCAGGCUUAACACAUGCAAGUCGAACGGUAACAGAGAAGUGCUUGCACUUUUGCUGACGAGUGGCGGACGGGUGAGUAAUGCUUGGGAAUAUGCCUUAUGGUGGGGGACAACAGUUGGAAACGACUGCUAAUACCGCAUAAUCUCUUCGGAGCAAAGUGGGGGACCUUCGGGCCUCACGCCAUGAGAGUAGCCCAAGUGGGAUUAGCUAGUUGGUAAGGUAAAGGCUUACCAAGGCGACGAUCCCUAGCUGGUCUUAGAGGAUGACCAGCCACACUGGAACUGAGACACGGUCCAG